UUGAAUUUUGAGAGAGGUUGUAGCUGAUCAUUAAGAUAUGUGCACACCUCAUUUCCAAAUUUUACACCAUGUGCACUUUUUGUAGGCUGACUUCUGUUGGUCUAUGUCUUUUUAAACACACUCAAAAGUUUAGAAUGUUAAAACACAAGCUUUGCAUUUUUGCAAGCUUUUAAAAUUAAUA
rnacentral:misc_RNA from 1 species